AAUUGUUUGAAUAGUAUUAGUUAAGUUCUUUUAAGCUCAAAUAACUUGGCGGUAAAAUACCUAUUUAGAGGAACCUGUAUAUUAAUUGAUAAUCCACGAUAAACUAUACUUUUUAAUUACUUGUAUAUCUCUAUAUUUUGGAAUGUUUUGUUAAAACAUUUUCUUUUUCUUAAGAAUUAUAUUAGGUCAAGAUGCAGUUUUUAUUAAGUUUUUAUGGGUUACUUUAAUUUUAAAAUUUUUAGGAUUUAUUUAGUAUUUAUAAAUUAUGAAUUAGGAUUUAAUAGUAAUUUUAAUUAAUUAAUUAAUAUGAAUUAAUGCACUGUUUUAUGCACA
rnacentral:rRNA from 1 species